rnacentral:lncRNA from 1 species
GUGACCUAGAAAAUGGGCUGACUGGACUUUUAGAGCUGUGACUUUGAUUUCCCUCUGUCUGUGUCUGUGCAAAAUUUCUCAGUCAUUAGGUUAUGGAAUCCAUGGUUAUCAUCAAAAUUAAAGAGAAUGAAAGCUUUGCUACGAAGGAUUGGGAGCUGCGAGUAUGUUAGUCACUCCUCCACAUGAUACAUGAGUGGCAGUACAGUUGUGCCAUUUGAAAAAGCUAAAAGGGCACAUUCUGGAUCCUGAAUUUUGGGUGUGGUUCGUGUAAGAAGGAUGACCUGAAGCUCCAAUGAUCAGUGGAUCAUAGUCAAAGAAAAGACUCUCCAUACAGAUUAACAUGGGUAAACGAAUAUUUUAAGUAGCAAAAAACAUCACAGCCCUGCUGCCAAUCACCUGGGAACCACGCUUCUCUUUGGCGCCUGAAAACAACUGAACUGAAGCAUGGACCGAGGAAGUUUCCCUCCUCACCAGGACUCUCCUCUGAUGCCCUUCCUGACACAGGGUGGAGGACUCUACACGUGAGAGAAGACUUACAUCGUCUGCUUGACUUCUUGAUCCAUUCAGCACCCAAGCACCUUGCCAGACAUUGUGCUGAAUGCUUAGGAUCCAAGAUAAAAGGCCAAGAAGCUAUCUGUUCCUGGGGAGCUCUCUACUCUACUCUGAUUUGAGUGUGGAGGUCUGUGAUAGACAAUAAAUGAAUAUACACAUACGUAAAGAACAAUUUCUGUAAUUGCAGGUUGUCAUUAGGCCUGAGAAGG